AUCACACACGACCAAAACAGCAGGGCGCUCUCUCAAGUCUCCUCUUACUGUGCCAUCGUGGGGAACAGUCUCAUAGAGACAGAGACAGUGUGUACCAUUUUAUAAUCUGAGAGCUCUGCGUCUUCUAAGACCUGAGGAAGGUCAUCCCAGCUUUCUGUCAGGAAAGGAAACAGCACUUCUCAAAAAAUAGAAAGAGCAUGAUAUGGAGCUGGAGAGGAGGGGAGAGGAGAACAGAAGCCAAGGUGGGAAAGGACACCUGGCAGAGACAACAUCUGGAUCCUGAACCUGGAGGAGAAAUCCACUUAUAUCUCACUUUAGAUUUGCCAGCUGCUUUUAUUUUUAUUUGGACUUACAGAAAGGUUGAGAAGAAAAUACGGGAGUGAACUGUAGCAAUAAACGGUUUGUGGGUAA